AACGAACGCUGGCGGCAGGCUUAACACAUGCAAGUCGAGCGCCCCGCAAGGGGAGCGGCAGACGGGUGAGUAACGCGUGGGAAUCUACCCAUCUCUACGGAAUAACGCAUGGAAACGUGUGCUAAUACCGUAUACGUCCCUCGGGAGAAAGAUUUAUCGGAGAUGGAUGAGCCCGCGUUGGAUUCGCUAGUUGGUGGGGUAAAGGCCUACCAAGGCGACGAUCCAUAGCUGGUCUGAGAGGAUGAUCAGCCACACUGGGACUGAGACACGGCCCAGACUCCUACGGGAGGCAGCAGUGGGGAAUAUUGGACAAUGGGCGCAAGCCUGAUCCAGCCAUGCCGCGUGAGUGAUGAAGGCCCUAGGGUUGUAAAGCUCUUUCACCGGUGAAGAUAAUGACGGUAACCGGAGAAGAAGCCCCGGCUAACUUCGUGCCAGCCGCCGCAGUAACAC
rnacentral:rRNA from 1 species